rnacentral:rRNA from 1 species
AGUGAACGUUGGCGGCGUGGAUUAGGCAUGCAAGUCGAGCGAGAACCGUAGCAAUACGGGGACAGCGGCGAAAGGGACAGUAAUGUGUAGGUACCUACCCCGAGGUCUGGGAUAGCUGCGGGAAACUGCAGGUAAUACCGAAUAACGUCUCCGGACCAAAGGUGUGAUUCCACCUGGAGAGGGGCCUGCAUCCUAUUAGCUUGUUGGCGGGGUAACGGCCCACCAAGGCGACGAUGGGUAGCGGGUGUGAGAGCACGACCCGCGUCAUUGGGAUUGAGACACUGCCCAGACACCUACGGGUGGCUGCAGUCGAGGAUCUUCGGCAAUGGGCGCAAGCCUGACCGAGCGACGCCGCGUGCGGGAUGAAGGCCUUCGGGUUGUAAACCGCUGUCGUAGAGGAGGAAGUGCAGGGGGGUUCUCCCCUCUGUUUGACCUAUUCUAGGAGGAAGGACGGGCUAAGUUCGUGCCAGCCGCCGCGGUAA